AGAAUUUUUGGGGAAAAAAGAAAAUAAAAAUUUAAUUAUGAAUAAUCAACAGAAUGAUAACAAAAAACAGCUGUUUAUACUCCCCAGUAACCAGCAAUAGUUAAUCCCUGCUAUCAGCAGUAGUUAUUGUUUCUAACAAAUCAUAUCAACUGUAAGAGUAGCAGUGUAAUGGCCUAGAGGAGAGACGGUAU